UACAGAGGGGGCAAGCGUUGUUCGGAAUUACUGGGCGUAAAGGGCGCGUAGGCGGCCUGUUAAGUCGAACGUGAAAUCCCUGGGCUCAACCCAGGAACUGCGUCCGAUACUGGCAGGCUUGAAUCCGGGAGAGGGAUGUGGAAUUCCAGGUGUAGCGGUGAAAUGCGUAGAUAUCUGGAGGAACACCGGUGGCGAAGGCGGCUUGCCAGAAUGCGCUCGACGGUGAGGGAUGAAAGCUGGGGGAGCAAACCGG
rnacentral:rRNA from 1 species